rnacentral:rRNA from 1 species
GAUGAACGCUGGCGGCGUGCCUCAGACAUGCAAGUCGAACGAUUAAAGCUCUCUUCGGAGAGUGUAUAGAGUGGCGCACGGGUGAGUAACACGUAAGUAAUCUACCUUUGAGUGGGGAAUAACAGUCGGAAACGACUGCUAAUACCGCAUAAUGCAGCGGCAUCGCGAGAUGACAGUUGUUAAAGGAGCAAUCCGCUUAAAGAGGAGCUUGCGGCAGAUUAGCUAGUUGGUAAGGUAAUGGCUUACCAAGGCUACGAUCUGUAUCCGGUCUAAGAGGACGGUCGGACACACUGACACUGAAUAACGGGUCAGACUCCUACGGGAGGCAGCAGUCGGGAAUUUUGGGCAAUGGGCGAAAGCCUGACCCAGCAACGCCGCGUGAAGGAUGAAGUAUUUCGGUAUGUAAACUUCGAAAGAAUAGGAAGAAUAAAUGACGGUACUAUUUAUAAGGUCCGGCUAACUACGUGCCAGCAGCCGCCGUAA